rnacentral:rRNA from 1 species
GCUCAGGAUGAACGCUGGCGGCGUGCCUAACACAUGCAAGUCGAACGGGAAUCUUCGGAUUCUAGUGGCGGACGGGUGAGUAACGCGUAAGAAUCUAACUUCAGGACGGGGACAACAGUUGGAAACGACUGCUAAUACCCGAUGUGCCGCAAGGUGAAACCUAAUUGGCCUGAAGAAGAGCUUGCGUCUGAUUAGCUAGUUGGUGGGGUAAGAGCCUACCAAGGCGACGAUCAGUAGCUGGUCUGAGAGGAUGAGCAGCCACACUGGGACUGAGACACGGCCCAGACUCCUACGGGAGGCAGCAGUGGGGAAUUUUCCGCAAUGGGCGAAAGCCUGACGGAGCAACGCCGCGUGAGGGAGGAAGGUCUUUGGAUUGUAAACCUCUUUUCUCAAGGAAGAAGUUCUGACGGUACUUGAGGAAUCAGCCUCGGCUAACUCCGUGCCAGCAGCCGCGGUAAUACGGGGGAGGCAAGCGUUAUCCGGAAUUAUUGGGCGUAAAGCGUCCGCAGGUGGUCAGCCAAGUCUGCCGUCAAAUCAGGUUGCUUAACGACCUAAAGGCGGUGGAAACUGGCAGACUAGAGAGCAGUAGGGGUAGCAGGAAUUCCCAGUGUAGCGGUGAAAUGCGUAGAGAUUGGGAAGAACAUCGGUGGCGAAAGCGUGCUACUGGGCUGUAUCUGACACUCAGGGACGAAAGCUAG